CCUACGGGGGUAGUAGUGGGGAAGAGUGGGCAAGGGGCGGAAGCCGGACCCAGCAAAGACGAGUGAAGGAAGAAGGGUUUCGGGUUGUAAACUUCUUUUAAGAGGGAAGAGCAGAAGACGGUACCUCUUGAAUAAGCCACGGCUAACUACGUGCCAGCAGCCGCGGUAAUACGUAGGUGGCAAGCGUUGUCCGGAUGUACUGGGUGUAAAGGGCGUGUAGCCGGGCUGACAAGUCAGAUGUGAAAUUCCGGGGCUCAACCCCGGACCUGCAUUUGAAACUGUUGGUCUUGAGUAUCGGAGAGGCAGGCGGAAUUCCUAGUGUAGCGGUGAAAUGCGUAGAUAUUAGGAGGAACACCAGUGGCGAAGGCGGCCUGCUGGACGACAACUGACGGUGAGGCGCGAAAGCGUGGGGAGCAAACAGGAUUAGAUACCCGAGUAGUC
rnacentral:rRNA from 1 species